rnacentral:tRNA from 3 species
GGACCGGUAGCUCAGCUGGAUAGAGCAACAGCCUUCUAAGCUGUGGGUCAGGGGUUCGAAUCCCCUCCGGUUCA